rnacentral:rRNA from 1 species
UCGAGAAUCUUCCGCAAUGGGCGAAAGCCUGACGGAGCGACGCCGCGUGUAGGAUGAAGGCCCUCGGGUUGUAAACUACUGUCACGGGUUAUGAAUGUGCAUAUGUUAACAGCGUGUGUAUUGACGUAAGCCCGAAAGGAAGCACCGGCUAACUCUGUGCCAGCAGCCGCGGUAAUACAGAGGGUGCAAACGUUGUUCGGAAUUACUGGGCAUAAAGCGCGCGUAGGCGGCGACGUAAGUGUAGGGUGAAAUCCCACGGCUCACCCGUGUGAAUUGCCCCGCAUACUGCGUUGCUUGAGUGUGGUAGGGGAGAGCGGAACUCCUGGUGGAGCGGUGAAAUGCGUAGAUAUCAGGAGGAACACCGGUGGCGUAGGCGGCUCUCUGGUCCAUAACUGACGCUGAAGUGCGAAAGCUAGGGUAGCGAACGGGAUUAGAUACCCCUGUAGUCCCUGAGCGGGCUGGCAAGGCGCAU